rnacentral:tRNA from 1 species
GGUCUUAUAGUCAAUAAUGAUUUUGAAUUGCAAAUUCGAAGGUGAAUGAUAAUUCUAAGGCUU